rnacentral:rRNA from 1 species
UACGUAGGGGGCAAGCGUUGUCCGGAAUUAUUGGGCGUAAAGAGCGCGUAGGCGGUCCGAUAAGUCGGCUGUGAAAGUCAGGGGCUCAACCCUUGGAAGCCGGCCGAUACUGUCGGACUAGAGUCCGGAAGAGGCGAGUGGAAUUCCCGGUGUAGCGGUGAAAUGCGCAGAUAUCGGGAGGAACACCAAUGGCGAAGGCAGCUCGCUGGGACGGUACUGACGCUGAGGCGCGAAAGCGUGGGUAGCAAACAGG